rnacentral:rRNA from 1 species
AGGCGAACCGGGGGAACUGAAACAUCUAAGUACCCCGAGGAAAAGAAAUCAACCGAGAUUCCCCCAGUAGCGGCGAGCGAACGGGGAGCAGCCCAGAGUCUGAAUCAGCUUGUGUGUUAGUGGAACGGUCUGGAAAGUCCGACGGUACAGGGUGAUAGUCCCGUACACCAAAAUGCACAGGCUGUGAACUCGAAGAGUAGGGCGGGACACGUGGUAUCCUGUCUGAAUAUGGGGGGACCAUCCUCCAAGGCUAAAUACUCCUGACUGACCGAUAGUGAACCAGUACCGUGAGGGAAAGGCGAAAAGAACCCCGGCGAGGGGAGUGAAAAAGAACCUGAAACCGUGUACGUACAAGCAGUGGGAGCACCUUCGGGUGUGACUGCGUACCUUUUGUAUAAUGGGUCAGCGACUUAUAUUCUGUAGCAAGGUUAACCGUAUAGGGGAGCCGCAGGGAAACCGAGUCUUAACUGGGCGUUAAGUUGCAGGGUAUAGACCCGAAACCCGGUGAUCUAGCCAUGGGCAGGUUGAAGGUUGGGUAACACUAACUGGAGGACCGAACCGACUAAUGUUGAAAAAUUAGCGGAUGACUUGUGGCUGGGGGUGAAAGGCCAAUCAAACCGGGAGAUAGCUGGUUCUCCCCGAAAGCUAUUUAGGUAGCGCCUCGUGAACUCAUCUUCGGGGGUAGAGCACUGUUUCGGCUAGGGGGUCAUCCCGACUUACCAACCCGAUGCAAACUACGAAUACCGAAGAAUGUUAUCACGGGAGACACACGGCGGGUGCUAACGUCCGUCGUGAAGAGGGAAACAACCCAGACCGCCAGCUAAGGUCCCAAAGUCAUGGUUAAGUGGGAAACGAUGUGGGAAGGCACAGACAGCCAGGAUGUUGGCUUAGAAGCAGCCAUCAUUUAAAGAAAGCGUAAUAGCUCACUGGUCGAGUCGGCCUGCGCGGAAGAUGUAACGGGGCUAAACCAUGCACCGAAGCUGCGGCAGCGACACUAUGUGUUGUUGGGUAGGGGAGCGUUCUGUAAGCCUGCGAAGGUGUGCUGUGAGGCAUGCUGGAGGUAUCAGAAGUGCGAAUGCUGACAUAAGUAACGAUAAAGCGGGUGAAAAGCCCGCUCGCCGGAAGACCAAGGGUUCCUGUCCAACGUUAAUCGGGGCAGGGUGAGUCGACCCCUAAGGCGAGGCCGAAAGGCGUAGUCGAUGGGAAACAGGUUAAUAUUCCUGUACUUGGUGUUACUGCGAAGGGGGGACGGAGAAGGCUAUGUUAGCCGGGCGACGGUUGUCCCGGUUUAAGCAUGUAGGCUGGUUGUCCAGGCAAAUCCGGAUAAUCAAGGCUGAGGUGUGAUGACGAGGCACUACGGUGCUGAAGUAACAAAUGCCCUGCUUCCAGGAAAAGCCUCUAAGCAUCAGGUAACAUCAAAUCGUACCCCAAACCGACACAGGUGGUCAGGUAGAGAAUACCAAGGCGCUUGAGAGAACUCGGGUGAAGGAACUAGGCAAAAUGGUGCCGUAACUUCGGGAGAAGGCACGCUGGUGUGUAGGUGAAGUCCCUGCGGAUGGAGCUGAGACCAGUCGAAGAUACCAGCUGGCUGCAACUGUUUAUUAAAAACACAGCACUGUGCAAACACGAAAGUGGACGUAUACGGUGUGACGCCUGCCCGGUGCCGGAAGGUUAAUUGAUGGGGUUAUCCGUAAGGAGAAGCUCUUGAUCGAAGCCCCGGUAAACGGCGGCCGUAACUAUAACGGUCCUAAGGUAGCGAAAUUCCUUGUCGGGUAAGUUCCGACCUGCACGAAUGGCGUAAUGAUGGCCAGGCUGUCUCCACCCGAGACUCAGUGAAAUUGAACUCGCUGUGAAGAUGCAGUGUACCCGCGGCAAGACGGAAAGACCCCGUGAACCUUUACUAUAGCUUGACACUGAACAUUGAGCCUUGAUGUGUAGGAUAGGUGGGAGGCUUUGAAGCGUGGACGCCAGUCUGCGUGGAGCCAACCUUGAAAUACCACCCUUUAAUGUUUGAUGUUCUAACGUUGGCCCCUGACCGGGGUUGCGGACAGUGUCUGGUGGGUAGUUUGACUGGGGCGGUCUCCUCCCAAAGCGUAACGGAGGAGCACGAAGGUUAGCUAAUCCUGGUCGGACAUCAGGAGGUUAGUGCAAUGGCAUAAGCUAGCUUGACUGCGAGCGUGACGGCGCGAGCAGGUGCGAAAGCAGGUCAUAGUGAUCCGGUGGUUCUGAAUGGAAGGGCCAUCGCUCAACGGAUAAAAGGUACUCCGGGGAUAACAGGCUGAUACCGCCCAAGAGUUCAUAUCGACGGCGGUGUUUGGCACCUCGAUGUCGGCUCAUCACAUCCUGGGGCUGAAGUAGGUCCCAAGGGUAUGGCUGUUCGCCAUUUAAAGUGGUACGCGAGCUGGGUUUAGAACGUCGUGAGACAGUUCGGUCCCUAUCUGCCGUGGGCGCUGGAGAAUUGAGGGGGGCUGCUCCUAGUACGAGAGGACCGGAGUGGACGCAUCACUGGUGUUCGGGUUGUCAUGCCAAUGGCACUGCCCGGUAGCUAAAUGCGGAAGAGAUAAGUGCUGAAAGCAUCUAAGCACGAAACUUGCCCCGAGAUGAGUUCUCCCUGAGACUUUAAGUCUCCUGAAGGAACGUUGAAGACGACGACGUUGAUAGGCCGGGUGUGUAAGCGCAGCGAUGCGUUGAGCUAACCGGUACUAAUGAACCGUGAGGCUUAACCUU